rnacentral:rRNA from 1 species
UACGGAGGAUGCAAGCGUUAUCCGGAAUGAUUGGGCGUAAAGCGUCCGCAGGUGGCUAUGUAAGUCUGCUGUUAAAGAGAGAGGCUCAACCUCAUAAGAGCAGUGGAAACUACAUGGCUAGAGUGCGUUCGGGGCAGAGGGAAUUCCUGGUGUAGCGGUGAAAUGCGUAGAGAUCAGGAAGAACACCGGUGGCGAAAGCGCUCUGCUAGGCCGCAACUGACACUCAUGGACGAAAGCUAGGGGAGCGAAUGGG